UACAGAGGGUGCAAGCGUUGUUCGGAAUUAUUGGGCGUAAAGGGCGCGUAGGCGGUGCCACAAGUCACCUGUGAAAUCUCCGGGCUUAACUCGGAGCCUGCAGGCGAAACUGUGGUGCUGGAGUGUGGGAGAGGUGCGUGGAAUUCCCGGUGUAGCGGUGAAAUGCGUAGAGACCCGGAGGAACACCAGUGGCGAAGGCGGCUUCCUGGUCUGCGACUGACGCUGUGGCGCGAAAGCUAGGGGAGCAAACGGG
rnacentral:rRNA from 1 species